GGGCCCGUGGCUCAGCUUGGUUAGAGCGCACGGCUGAUAACCGUGAUGUCCUGGGUUCGAAUCCCAGCGGGCCCA
rnacentral:tRNA from 1 species